GGAUGUAGCUUAGUUGGUUAAAGCGUCGGAUUGUGGUCCCGAAGACCGUGGGUUCGAAUCCCAUCUUC
rnacentral:tRNA from 1 species